AUGUCACCCAUGGCCAGGAAAAGGGCUCUGGUGGCUUCUCCAUGUCCGAGUGGGAGCUGGGGGCUCGGGAAAUGUACAGAGCCAGUCAGGAGUCGCAGUGACACGGGAUGGGGACACCAGGGGAGCUGCCCCUGCUCUGCCACCCUCCUGUGCCACAGCCCCGGGGCUCGUCCAUGCCCGUCCCAGGGGAUGGGGUUUGCUGCAGCUCCUCAGGCACCAUCAGCUGCUCUGCAGCCCCAAACAGCCCAAAUUCUGCCUCCAGCAGGAGCCGGCUCCAUCCCAGCAGCGCCAGGGCAGUUUCCCAUCACACACCUGCCGAGAGCAAGGAGAAUUCUCUUGAAAGCUCCAACCACUCUGAACGGGGCACCACCAGACCCUGCCCUGCCGGCAGGGGACACCGGGAGCUGGCAAAGGGCCCCGAGGGGUUUGAGAGCCAGAGGCAGCGCUCCCACCGGGAAUCCCCGGUGGCUCAGAGCCCUUCCCAGCCCUGCCCCGUGGCCCACAUUCCUCCCACUGAGAACAAGCAGCCCCGGAGGAUGGCAGAAACAAGUGACUGUAAUUAGAAAUGGGGGCUCAGGGCUGGCUGAGCCCGCAGGGACCCUGCCCUGCUUUGUAGGAGCACAAAUCCCUUGGGAUGCCCGGGGCCGCUGCUGGGCCCGACGCUGCUCCGCAGGGAUGUGCCCGCCUGUGCUGGCACACUCGGAGCUGAGCCGAGCCCAUUCCCAGCUCCCACGGGUGAUGCUGUCCCAGGAAGACAGCUGGGUCCAUCUCUGCUCCCACCCAUCCCACUCUUGCUCAGGGAUUCACCUCAGUGGCAGCUCCAUGCCUGGGGGCUCCCAUGGCACGGGGAUGCUCUUCCCUGGAACCAUCCCUGCCCUCCCUUCCUGGCGGACACAGCAGGGCCCACGGGGAAUGAGGAGGAAUGGGAACCCCCUCUCCAGGCCUGGGGCAAGCCCACCCACACCCCAGCCCAUGUCCCCCUUCACCCCACCCAGCAUCCAGGGCCACCCUGCUCCUGGUUCCAGAGACAGAUGCCUGGCAGAUCCUUGGAACCACCCGGCAGGGAUUGAAAAACAUAAAUUAAAACAAAUUGCAGUUUUAUAUUGCAAAUAA
rnacentral:lncRNA from 1 species